ensembl:lncRNA
GCAUUGAAGAGCCUCCACCAGAUUCUACAGCUUGGAGAGAGAAGUGGGCCAGUUCUCCCGAUCCAGACCCCAGGCUCUUUUUCCUGACAUCAGACUUAUUACAUAGGGUGACACCCAAGCCUUCCUGUCUUCCCACUCCCUAUGAAUCAUUGCUGGUUGCUGCCAAGAACCAGGUUUCACAGCUGCUGUGCUUGCAGCCCUGGCACUGGCUUCUGAGGACAGCUGCUGCUGCUGCUGCUGCUGCAGGGCGCACCCUGCCCCCAGGACAGCUGGUCUGUGUGCCGGGAAAGCACGGAGUGGUGCUGAGGUACAGGUGCCGACAAACCAGCAGCAAGCAAGACAGAUGCAAUCCCCGGCACCAGCGACGGAGAUAGGCAUUGACCAGACACUUAAGUGUGUUGAGAAGAAGACUCCAUAUGAAUAAACUAUCAGAGUGGUCUGACACUCGCUGGAUGCCAGGAAGAGAAAAUGAAUGUAUACAUUGGCUCGCUGCUCGAAGGGGAAACUGAGGCCCAGGUGGGGGAACCCAGUGAGCUGGUUGCUCAUACAGAAUGCAGACUAUCAAGUGCCCAAGGCUUGCCCUCCCGUAGCUUCAUGGAUACGGGGAGGCGGGCGAGUCCCUGCCCUUUCCUACUCUGCAUGAACCUUUCUCAGCUCACUGGCUGGGCUGCCCUACUAAUUGGAUGGAGCAACUGGGCCAGACUGGGGAAGUGGGCGGUGAGGAGCAGAACGCAGCCUGCCUCUUCCGGGCGCCCAGGCCAGUCCUACAGCGACUUUGCUGAGCUGGCGGCCCACGCCCGGGUGCACAAUGAUGCUGACACAGACACACCCGGGAGCCUGAGGGUAUGUGUGUGUGUGUGUUGGGGGAGGGGGAACCUAGGCGCGUCCACCCCACCCACUGCCUCUGCUAUGGAGUCAUUAUCCCUCGGGGUAGAGGGAAACACCGAGAGGCCGAGUUGCCAAUGGCCACUCCAGGUGUCCAAGCCCCUCCCACCAGACCCAGGAGCUCCCCAGGAGGGCUCGUUUGCUCUCACGGGCUG